CCCUUUGGGGUGUGACUGCGUACCUUUUGUAUAAUGGGUCAGCGACUUAUAUUCUGUAGCAAGGUUAACCGAAUAGGGGAGCCGGAGGGAAACCGAGUCUUAAUUGGGCGUUAAGUUGCAGGGUAUAGACCCGAAACCCGGUGAUCUAGCCAUGGGCAGGUUGAAGGUUGGGUAACACUAACUGGAGGACCGAACCGACUAAUGUUGAAAAAUUAGCGGAUGACCUGUGGCUGGGGGUGAAAGGCCAAUCAAACCGGGAGAUAGCUGGUUCUCCCCGAAAGCUAUUUAGGUAGCGCCUCGUGAAUUCAUCUCCGGGGGUAGAGCACUGUUUCGGCUAGGGGGCCAUCCCGGCUUACCAACCCGAUGCAAACUGCGAAUACCGGAGAAUGUUAUCACGGGAGACACACGGCGGGUGCUAACGUCCGUCGUGAAGAGGGAAACAACCCAGACCGCCAGCUAAGGUCCCAAAGUCAUGGUUAAGUGGGAAACGAUGUGGGAAGGCCCAGACAGCCAGGAUGUUGGCUUAGAAGCAGCCAUCAUUUAAAGAAAGCGUAAUAGCUCACUGGUCGAGUCGGCCUGCGCGGAAGAUGUAACGGGGCUAAACCAUGCACCGAAGCUGCGGCAGCGACGCUGAUGCGUUGUUGGGUAGGGGAGCGUUCUGUAAGCCUGUGAAGGUGGCCUGUGAGGGUUGCUGGAGGUAUCAGAAGUGCGAAUGCUGACAUAAGUAACGAUAAAGCGGGUGAAAAGCCCGCUCGCCGGAAGACCAAGGGUUCCUGUCCAACGUUAAUCGGGGCAGGGUGAGUCGACCCCUAAGGCGAGGCCGAAAGGCGUAGUCGAUGGGAAACGGGUUAAUAUUCCCGUACUUGGUGUUACUGCGAAGGGGGGACGGAGAAGGCUAUGUUGGCCGGGCGACGGUUGUCCCGGUUUAAGCGUGUAGGUGUGUGUUCCAGGUAAAUCCGGUU
rnacentral:rRNA from 1 species